rnacentral:rRNA from 1 species
AGAGUUUGAUCCUGGCUCAGGAUGAACGCUAGCUACAGGCUUAACACAUGCAAGUCGAGGGGCAGCAUGGUCUUAGCUUGCUAAGGCCGAUGGCGACCGGCGCACGGGUGAGUAACGCGUAUCCAACCUGCCUUACACUCUUGGACAGCCUUCUGAAAGGGAGAUUAAUACAAGAUGUUAUCAUGAGUAAGCAUUUUCGCAUGAUUAAAGGUUACCGGUGUAAGAUGGGGAGUGCGUUCCAUUAGAUAGUAGGCGGGGUAACGGCCGACCUAGUCUUCGAUGGAUAGGGGUUCGUGAGAGGAAGGUCCCCCGACAUUGGAACUGAGACACGGUCCAAACUCCUAGGAGGCA